AUGUGCAACCGUGGGCAGAGGCCGGGCUGAUGGGUCUACAAGCCCAGGAAAGUCCGAGAUUGCCAGCAAAACACCAGAAGCUGGGGGGAGGCAUGGAGUGGGUUCUUAGAAGGAACCCACCCUGCAACACCUACAUCUCAGACUUCAGCCUCUGAAACUGUGAGACAUAAAAUUUUCGUGCUUUAACCCACCCAGUUUGUAGAAUUUGUUACACAGCCAUGGCAAACAAAUGCACCCAAUGUCUAAAAGUCCUUUGAUUAACGACUCACAGUUAUCCUUUGAAAAUUCCCAGAAUAAAAUGCAAAUGUCAAGACUCACAGGAGUCAAGAUUCAAACCUUUUGUGUAUUUUAAGCAUCCACAUUUCACUCUUUUUGUUAAAAUAAGAAGAACCAUUCCAGGUCCAACUGUCUUCUGCAGACCUUCUGUGUGGAAUCUUUUCCUGGAGUUGGAAUAGCAGACUUGGGGAUGGUGCUGUGGGUUUGUUUGGUUUAUUGUUGAAAUCCCAAGAAAGAACUUUCAUUUGCAGCUGACUUGGCUGAGCCGGUGGACAAGAUUUCAGGAAGGAACUAAGCUCUGAGCUUUACUGAUAGGCUGGUAUGGAAAACCUUUCUGGACUCCUUAAAUAUAUCCUUCAAGAUUUUGACAUUUCUCUGAUUGGAACUGACAAAUAGAUCUUGGUAGGCCAAAGGUUCCACCCUUCACUCUAAAGCUAAGUUGGAAUCUCACUCUGUUGCCCAGGCUGGAGUACAAUGGCAC
rnacentral:lncRNA from 1 species